rnacentral:rRNA from 1 species
AGUGAACGCUGGCGGUAGGCCUAACACAUGCAAGUCGAACGGCAGCACAGUAAGAGCUUGCUCUUACGGGUGGCGAGUGGCGGACGGGUGAGGAAUACAUCGGAAUCUACUUUUUCGUGGGGGAUAACGUAGGGAAACUUACGCUAAUACCGCAUACGACCUACGGGUGAAAGCAGGGGAUCUUCGGACCUUGCGCGAUUGAAUGAGCCGAUGUCGGAUUAGCUAGUUGGCGGGGUAAAGGCCCACCAAGGCGACGAUCCGUAGCUGGUCUGAGAGGAUGUUCCGCCACACUGGAACUGAGACACGGUCCAGACUCCUACGGGAGGCAGCAGUGGGGAAUAUUGGACAAUGGGCGCAAGCCUGAUCCAGCCAUACCGCGUGGGUGAAGAAGGCCUUCGGGUUGUAAAGCCCUUUUGUUGGGAAAGAAAAGCAGCAGGUUAAUACCCCGCUGUUCUGACGGUACCCACAGAAUAAGCACCGGCUAACUUCGUG